CUUUGGAAAAAAAAUAAAUAAAUAAGGAGUUUAUAUUGUGUGAAAAAUAAAAUAUACAAAUAUAUAUGGACAUGGGAAAUAUAGGAAUUUGAUUUUAAAUAGAAUGGUAAAAAGGUCAAUUCCAACUUAACCCUACUUGUCCAUUCUCUUCUUAUUCUUCCUUAUAACUCCCGAAACCCAUUCUCUUCUUACUUCCGAAAAACCACUCUCUUCUUAGUCUCCCUUUUAACUCUAGAAAAACCCACUAAAUUGGACUACAAAGAGCAGCCCCUGUUUUACUUGUUGAUUUGCCAAUUAAGAAGAGAAUUUUGUGUGAAGUUUGGCUAAUUCAGGCCACUAGGUUCGGGCACUUUGUAACCAGUUUUUAUCUUCCAUUCAAACUACCAAAAAUCACUUGAAAUAGCCUUUGAUUGCUUAGGCAAGAGUCGAUCACUCUUCGGCAACUUAAGGAUUGGUUCAUUGGAUAAUACUUGACGCGUGUUGCUUAAGCUUGUGAAGUGUGUCUACAAGAGGUAGGGGAAUUUCUACCCUCCUUGAUAAUUCCUUCUAUGACUUGUGUUAAUUCAUUGUAGGAAAAACUUUUAUCCUCAUUGAUAAUUUCCUUUCAUGCUUGUUUGAAUCAUUGUAGGAACCUCCUA